rnacentral:rRNA from 1 species
GACGAACGCUGGCGGCGUGCUUAACACAUGCAAGUCGAACGAAGAGCGAUGGAAGCUUGCUUCUAUCAAUCUUAGUGGCGAACGGGUGAGUAACGCGUAAUCAACCUGCCCUUCAGAGGGGGACAACAGUUGGAAACGACUGCUAAUACCGCAUACGAUCUAAUCUCGGCAUCGAGGAUAGAUGAAAGGUGGCCUCUACAUGUAAGCUAUCACUGAAGGAGGGGAUUGCGUCUGAUUAGCUAGUUGGCGGGGUAACGGCCCACCAAGGCGAUGAUCAGCAGCCGGUCUGAGAGGAUGAACGGCCACAUUGGGACUGAGACACGGCCCAGACUCCUACGGGAGGCAGCAGUGGGGAAUCUUCCGCAAUGGACGAAAGUCUGACGGAGCAACGCCGCGUGAGCGAUGACGGCCUUCGGGUUGUAAAGCUCUGUUAAUCGGGACGAAAGGCCUUCUUGCGAAUAGUGAGAAGGAUUGACGGUACCGGAAUAGAAAGCCACGGCUAACUACGUG